GCAUAUUGGACAAUGGGCGAAAGCCUGAUCCCGCCAUGCCGCGUGUGUGAAGAAGGGCUUCGGAUUGUAAAGCACUUUAAGCUGGGAGGAAAGGGUUUAGAUUAAUACUCUGCAAUUUUGACGUUACCGACAGACUAAGCACCGGCUAACGUCUUGCCAGCAGCCGCGGUAAUACGAAGGGUGCAAGCGUUAAUCGUAAGUACUGGGCGUAACGCGCGCGUAGGUGGUUUAUUAAGUGGGAAGUGAAAGCCCCGGGCUCAACCUGGGAACUGCUUUCCAAACUGGCAAGCCAGAGUAUGGCAGAGGGUGGUGGAAUUUCCUGUGUAGCGGUGAAAUGCGUAGAUAUAGGAAGGAACACCAGUGGCGAAGGCGACCACCUGGGCUAAUACUGACACUGAGGUGCGAAAGCGUGGGGAGCAAACAG
rnacentral:rRNA from 1 species